UUACCAUAUUGGUCAGGCUGGUCUGGAACUCCUGACCUUGAGAUCUGCCUGCCUCAGCCUCCCAAAGUGCUGGCAUUACAGACAUGAGCCACUGCGCCCGGCCUAAAGAAAUUUAAUUUCUAUAAAUUAUAUGCUCAUUAUCUCAUUUUAAAUUUCAAAUAAUAAGCAAAUUCCACCUUUAUGGUAAGAAUGCAGCAAAUUGUUUGUAAUAUAAAUUCCAAAGACAGGCAGAAAGUAACUAUUAGGCCUAUGGGAAAAGGACCCUGAAGAAGAAAUCCAAAUACCUGGAAUCCUGUCUCUACCCUAGCAUUAAAGAAACAGCUCUUUAUUACUACUGAGCAACUUAAUCUCCUAUUAUCUUGGAUUUGUCCUUAUUUCUCUGCAUUCAGUUUCUUCUUCUCUACCUCUAAAGUACUAUGUCUUCACCUAUGCUCUCCAUACAGCAGUGACAGAAGGGGAAUUAAAGAGUUGGGUUUCCUCCCUCUCCCUCUCCCCACGGUCUCCCUCUCCCUCUCUUUCUACGGUCUCCCUCUGAUGCCUAGCGGAAGCUGGACUGUACUGCUGCCAUCUCGGCUCACUGCAACCUCCCUGUCUGAUUCUCCUGCCUCAGCCUGCCCAGUGCCUGUGAUUGCAGGCGCGCGCUGCCACGCCUGACUGGUUUUCAUAUUUUUUUGGUGGAGACGGGGUUUCGCUGUGUUGGCCGGGCUGGUCUCCAGCUCCUAACCGCGAGUGAUCUGCCAGCCUCGGCCUCCCGAGGUGCCGGGAUUGCAGACAGAGUCUCAUUCACUCAGUGCUCAAUGGUGCCCAGGCUGGAGUGCAGUGGCGUGAUCUCGGCUAGCUACAACCUCCACCUCCCAGCCGCCUGCCUUGGCCUCCCAAAGUGCCAAGAUUGCAGCCUCUGCCCGGACGCCACCCCAUCUGGGAAGUGAGGAGUGUCUCUGCCUGGCCGCCCAUCAUCUGGGAUGUGAGGAGCCCCUCUGCCCGACUGCCCAGUCUGGGAAGUGAAGAGCACCUCUUCCCGGCCGCCAUCCCAUCUAGGAAGUGAGGAGCGUCUCUGCCCGGCCGCCCAUCGUCUGAGAUGUGGGGAGCGCCUCUGCCCCGCCGCCCCGUCUGGGAUGUGAGGAGCGCCUCUGCCGGGCCGCGACCCCAUCUGGGAGAUGAGGAGCGUCUCUGCCCGGCCGCCCCAUCUGAGAAGUGAGGAGCCCCUCUGCCUGGCAGCCGCCCUGUCUGAGAAGUGAGGAGCCCCUCUGCCCGGCAGCCGACCCGUCUGAGAAGUGAGGAGCCUCUCCGCCUGGCAGCCGCCCCGUCUGAGAAGUGAGGAGCCCCUCCGCCCGGCAGCUGCCCUGUCUGGCCAUAGACUCUCCAACUCCUGCAACUGUCUGGAAUUUCUUCUCUCUCCAAUCCAUCUCUAGUAUUGAUGACAUAGCUGGACUGUACUGCUGCCAUCUCGGCUCACUGCAACCUCCCUGCCUGAUUCUCCUGCCUCAGCCUGCCGAGUGCCUGCGAUUGCAGGAGCGCGCCGCCACGCCUGACUGGUUUUCGUAUUUUUUUGGUGGAGAAGGGGUUUCGCUGUGUUGGCCGGGCUGGUCUCCAGCUCCUAACCGCGAGUGAUCUGCCAGCCUCGGCCUCCCGAGGUGCCGGGAUUGCAGACGGAGUCUGGUUCACUCAGUGCUCAAUGGUGCCCAGGCUGGAGUGCAGUGGCGUGAUCUCGGCUCGCUACAACCUCCACCUCCCAGCCGCCUGCCUUGGCCUCCCAAAGUGCCGAGAUUGCAGCCUCUGCCUCGCCACCACCCCGUUUGGGAAGUGAGGAGCGUCUCUGCCUGGCCACCCAUCGUCUGGGACGUGAGGAGCCCCUCUGCCUGGCUGCCCAGUCUGGAAAGUGAGGAGCGUCUCUGCCCGGCCGCCAUCCCAUCUAGGAAGUGAGGAGCGCCUCUUCCCGGCCUCCCAUCGUCUGAGAUGUGGGGAGCGCCUCUGCCCCGCUGCCCCGUCUGGGAUGUGAGGAGCGCCUCUACCCGGCCGCGACCCCGUCUGGGAGGUGAGGAGCGUCUCUGCCCGGCUGCCCCGUCUGAGAAGUGAGGAGUCCCUCCGCCCGGCAGCUGCCCCGUCUGAGAAGUGAGGAGCCCCUCCGUCCGGCAGCCGCCCCGUCUGGGAAGUGAGGAGCCCCUCCGCCCGGCAGCCACCCCGUCUGGGAGGGAGGUGGGGGUCAGCCCCCCACCCGGCCAGCCGCCCCGCCCGGGAGGUGAGGGGCGCCUCUGCCCGGCUGCCCCUACUGGGAAGUGAGGAGCCCCUCUGCCCAGCCAGCCGCCCCGUCCGGGAGGGAGGUGGGGGGGUCAGCCCCCCGCCCGGCCAGCUGCCCCGUCCGGGAGGUGAGGGGCGCCUCUGCCCGGCCGCCCCUACUGGGAAGUGAGGAGCCCCUCUACCCGGCCACCACCCCGUCUGGGAGGUGUAUCGAACAGCUCAUUGAGAACAGGCCAUGAUGACAAUGGCGGUUUUGUGGAAUACAAAGGGGGGAAAGGUGGGGAAAAGAUUGAGAAAUCGGAUGGUUGCCGCGUCUGUGUAGAAAGAGGUAGACAUGGGAGACUUUUCAUUUUGUUCUGUACUAAGAAAAAUUCUUAUCCUGUUGAUCUGUGACCUUACCCCCAACCCUGUGCUCUCUGAAACAUGUGCUGUGUCCACUCAGAGUUAAAUGGAUUAAGGGCGGUGCAAGAUGUGCUUUGUUAAACAGAUGCUUGAAGGCAGCAUGCUCGUUAAGAGUCAUCACCACUCCCUAACCUCAAGGACCCAGGGACACAAACAUUGCGGAAGGCCGCAGGGUCCUCUGCCUAGGAAAGCCAUAGACCUUUGUUCACUUGUUUAUCUGCUGACCUUCCCUCCACUAUUGUCCUAUGACCCUGCCAAAUCCCCCUCUGCGAGAAACACCCAAGAAUGAUCAAUAAAAAAUAAAAAAAUAAUAAAAAAAAAAGAAAAAAAAGAAAAAAACAAUGUCACAUAUUGCCACAGGAUAAGCUAAGGAUGAAAUCUCUCCAGGACUUAGUGUCAUAGAGGUCAUUGGUGACUCUAGUGAGGGCCACUGUAUAUAGUGGGGGCAGGAGCCAUAGUGGGUUUUAAGCUCAAAUAGGAGGUAAGGACAUGGAAAACAUGGGAAGGCACUUGAGAAGUCUGACUAUGAAGCAGAGAUAGGACUGUGGUCAGAUACAAAUAUGAGAAGCAGAUUUCUUCUGAUGAGAAUGGUGUGUUCAACUGUCCAUGCAAAGAGCCAAUGGAGAAAGAGAGGAAAAAUACAGACCAAGUAACAACAGACUCCAUGAGAGAACGAGAGGAGAUAGGAUUGCAGCACAUGUUGAAUAACUGGCCUUUAAUAAGAGGAGGGAUUCUUCCUGUACAGGAAGAGGAGGGAUGAAGUGAAUGCAGAUGCAUUUGUGUACAUGGGUAUCAUGGUUUUUUUUUCCCCUGUGAAGUAAUCAGUUAGGGGGUGAAAGGGGCUUUAGAGGGAAAGGGGUUUGAAAUAGUUACAGAAGGAUUGAAGAGAAACACAUUAACAUUGUUGGCAGUACUGACAGCCUAACUCAAUGUGCUGAGCAUGAAUUUACAGUGAUAAAAAUCUACCAGAAACGACCUCCAGCUGCAAGGAUGCAGAAGCAGUGUUGGGUUCAUCCAGGGCUGGUAUUUUGCCAGGCUGACACAAUAGAGCAGCAGCAUACAUGAGCUUAAAUUAUUUACAUCUGCUGAAGUCUAGUCCGCCAAAGAUCACCAGGCUCAAGCCUGUCUUCUGACAAAACCAUUUAUUGAUUUGCAAGCAAGGGAACCAGAAGCAGCAAAGAUGGUGCAUUCCACAAGAGGGCAGGGGGUGCCAUCUUUGGUAAGGUUUGGGUUCCCAGUGUAGGGUUCUGAGCAAGCUAUAAGGGAAAGGAGACCAGUUCUGGGUUGGAUGCUAUUUCUGUAGCAAGAUUAGAUGUGAGAAUUAACUAGAGAUUGGUGCUGCAAUGAGGUGAGGGCAAGUUUAGCAACUGGAUAUCCCCAGUAGUAGAUGGGUUAUAGCAAAAUAGGUCUAAGGGUGUCACAGCCAACAAAGCAGUGGUCACAUGAGGGAGUCAUGAUGGUAUUUUAUAGCUGCUGCAGGACCUAACAGUUUCAUGUUAACUUUGCAGCUGCCUUGCCUGUCCCCCUGACAGUGGUGGAGCUUUUUUUUUCAGUUUGAGCCACUUUGAGUCCUAGAGUUUACUUUCAUACCAAACAUCCUCCUCUCAUUAAAUGUGAAUGAUUUUUCCCCCUAAAGUACAACUUAAUCCAUAUGCAUCUGUCCUCUCUAAAGAUUUAAUGAAAUACCUAAUUAUAGAAUUAAGCUUGCUUUCUGGCAAGACCCAGCCUAGAGUGAACGUUAAGUUUUAGACCAUCCCCUAAAUCACCAAAGCCCAAAUCCUACCACAGAUUCUAACACACUCUUACUGAUGCACCCCACAACUCCCACAAGGUGUAUGUUCUCCUUUACUGCAACAAUAAGCUCAGGCCGGGCGAGGUGGCUCACGCCUGUAAUCCCAGCACUUUGGGAGGCCGAGGUGGGCAGAUCAUCUGAGAUUGGGAGCUUGAGGCCAACCUGGCCAACAUGGCGAAACCCCGUCUCUACUAAAAAUACAAAAUUAGCCGGGCAUGGUGGUGCGUGCCUGUAAUCCCAGCUACUUGGGAGGCUGAGGCAGAAUUGCUUGAACCCGGGAGGCAGAGGUUGAGGUGAGCUGAGAUCACGCCACUGCACUCCAGCCUGGGCAACAAGAACAAUACUCUGCCUCAAAAAACAAACAAACAAACAAAAAAAAAAACAAAACCCAGUAAGCUCAACAUGUUCAGGUACAGUGUGUUCCUGGUAGUCUAUGGCUGGAGAGCAUUAACAACAUAAAGACAGAGGGUCAGAGUUGAUGACAACUUCUAGGUUAAGACCAAUAUUUGUGGUUUUUUUUUUUUUUUUGCCAGAACGCAAGACUAUAUUUACUAGCAGCUCUGUGUCCUUGCUCAUUGGAAAAUGAUCUUUCCUCAAGACUUGCUGACACGUUUCUGUUUAAGGCAUGACAAUCCUAAAGGCCAACAAUUGUGGACGGGGGCAACUCUUCCUUUCAUUAUGUACUGGUGUAGUCAAUUAUGCAAAGUCUGGUCAACCAAAGACCACCAGGCUCAAGCCAUCAGUUUUAAAAUAUGGCCACAUGCUCCUUGAUGGCCUAUGUGAUAUGGCUUUAGUAACUCCCUUAGGACCAAGAGAAUAUAAUGGAACUAAUGCUGUGUAACUUCCAAAUGCAGCUGCUUUCUGGGUCUUUUGAAAUGGCCCUUCAGAAUCCAGGCAACAUGCUGUGAGAAGUUCAAGCUACAUGGACAAGUGUAGAUGGUUCUGGUGAACGAUUCCAAUCUAGUCUUGGCUUUAAAAGUCAUCUCAGUACCAUGAAUUCAGAUGAUUAUAGCUCUCAGAUAUUCAAAUUACCCUCAGCCCUUAGUUUUCCUUGCCUAGGCCUCAGACAUCAUAGAAUAAAGCCAUCCCCAUUGUGCCCUCUCCAAGUUCCUGAACUAUAGAGUCCAUGAGCAUAAUAAAAUGAUUGUUUUAAGAUGCUAGAUUUCUGUGCUUUUUUUAUUAAGCAUAAUACCGGGAACAGAUAUUGAUCUUGUCGGUAGCUACUGUGAGUAGAGCAGUAGUUGGUGACAAUGAGCUAGUAGACAAAUACUGGACAGUUAUUCACAGAGCAGCUGCUAGAAGUUUCAAGUAUAUGCAGUUAGCAUUCCUUGUCCCUGGUCUAAUGUACCAUCUCUUCUCUACACCUCCUCUCCCUCCAAUAUUUAUAGUCAGUGCUAUCUUUAGAGAACUGCAGAUUAUGUUAAUAGCUGCCAUGUUACAGGAGCCAUUUUGAAAAACAUUUCUUACUACAACUUCCAAAAACCACAAUUACGUACAUUAUUUCCUUUAUAGAAGGAAUUUUAAAGUUUUAAUGUUUUAUAUUUGCUAGUUUU
rnacentral:lncRNA from 1 species